rnacentral:misc_RNA from 1 species
UCCGAGUUGACCCCGGCAGUCUCCUACGAGUCCCCGGCAUAACCCGCUGGCAGCACAGGACAAGGGUUGCGCUCGUUGCGGGACUUAACCCAACAUCUCACGACACGAGCUGACGACAGCCAUGCAGCACCUGUGUUCAGGCUCCCUUUCGGGCACAUCCACCUCUCAGCGGACUUCCUGACAUGUCAAGGGUAGGUAAGGUUUUUCGCGUUGCAUCGAAUUAAUCCACAUCAUCCACCGCUUGUGCGGGUCCCCGUCAAUUCCUUUGAGUUUUAAUCUUGCGACCGUACUCCCCAGGCGGGAUGCUUAAUGCGUUAGCUGCGCCACCGAACAGCAAGCUGUCCGACGGCUAGCAUCCAUCGUUUACGGCGUGGACUAC